CCUACGGGCGGCAGCAGUGAGGAAUAUUGGUCAAUGGGCGCGAGCCUGAACCAGCCAAGUAGCGUGAAGGAUGACUGCCCUACGGGUUGUAAACUUCUUUUAUAAAGGAAUAAAGUCAGGCACGUGUGCCUUUUUGUGUGUACUUUAUGAAUAAGGAUCGGCUAACUCCGUGCCAGCAGCCGCGGUAAUACGGAGGAUGCGAGCGUUAUCCGGAUUUAUUGGGUUUAAAGGGUGCGUAGGUGGGUUGUUAAGUCAGUUGUGAAAGGUUGCGGCUCAACCGUAAAAGUGCAGUUGAUACUGGCAGUCUUGAGUACAGUUGAGGUAGGCGGAAUUCGUGGUGUAGCGGUGAAAUGCUUAGAUAUCACGAAGAACUCCGAUUGCGAAGGCAGCUUAC
rnacentral:rRNA from 1 species